rnacentral:rRNA from 1 species
UCGAUCUGGCUCAGAAUGAACGCUAGCGACAGGCUUAACACAUGCAAGUCGAGGGGCAGCAUAGAAGUAGCAAUACUUGGUGGCGACCGGCGCACGGGUGAGUAACGCGUAUGCAACCUACCUAUCAGAGGGGAAUAACCCGGCGAAAGUCGGACUAAUACCGCAUAAAACAGGGGCACCGCAUGGUGAUAUUUGUUAAAGAAAUUCGCUGAUAGAUGGGCAUGCGUUCCAUUAGGUAGUUGGUGAGGUAACGGCUCACCAAGCCGACGAUGGAUAGGGAACUGAGAGGUUGGUCCCCCACACUGGUACUGAGACACGGACCAGACUCCUACGGGAGGCAGCAGUGAGGAAUAUUGGUCAAUGGGCGGGAGCCUGAACCAGCCAAGUCGCGUGAAGGAAGAAGGAUCUAUGGUUCGUAAACUUCUUUUGCAGGGGAAUAAAGUGCAGGACGUGUCCUGUUUUGUAUGUACCCUGAGAAUAAGGAUCGGCUAACUCCGUGCCAGCCGCCGC